CCUACGGGAGGCAGCAGUGAGGAAUAUUGGACAAUGGGCGCAAGCCUGAUCCAGCCAUGCCGCGUGCAGGAUGACGGUCCUAUGGAUUGUAAACUGCUUUUGUACAGGAAGAAACAGUUCUACGUGUAGAACCUUGACGGUACUGUAAGAAUAAGGAUCGGCUAACUCCGUGCCAGCAGCCGCGGUAAUACGGAGGAUCCAAGCGUUAUCCGGAAUCAUUGGGUUUAAAGGGUCCGUAGGCGGUUUAGUAAGUCAGUGGUGAAAGCCCAUCGCUCAACGGUGGAACGGCCAUUGAUACUGCUAAACUUGAAUUAUUAGGAAGUAACUAGAAUAUGUAGUGUAGCGGUGAAAUGCUUAGAGAUUACAUGGAAUACCAAUUGCGAAGGCAGGUUACUACUAAAUGGAUUGACGCUGAUGGACGAAAGCGUGGGUAGCGAACAGGAUUAGAUACCCUGGUAGUCCACGCCGUAAACGAUGGAUACUAGCUGUUGGAAGCAAUUUCAGUGGCUAAAGCGAAAAGUGAUAAGUAUCCCACCUGGGGAGUACGUUCGCAAGAAAGAGUAAAGUUACAAUAGAAGUUAGUUACGGCGUUGAGAGNGCCGACGGACGACGACGAGGGGAGGAGGAG
rnacentral:rRNA from 1 species